CACAAGCUCUUGGGGACCAGGCUUGCCUCUGGCUGGGGAAAGUGAAAGCAGCAGAAGGGGUUCGUCAUGGGGUAUAACGUCGUGUUUCCCCCAUAAACACGGAACAGUCUCAGGUGGCCUGAAUAACAAGGCUCUACGGUUUGGUCCACAUUCCCUCCCUGGCGGCUGCUUUGACCACCAAAUGUGAUUUAAACAGAGCAAAAGCUCCUCUGGUGGCUCAGAGGUUAAAGCAUCUGCCUCCAAUGCGGGAGACCCAGGUUCGAUCCCUGGGUCAGGAAGAUCCCCUGGAGAAGGAAAUGGCAAUCCACUCCAGUAUUCUUGCCUGGAGAAUCCCAUGGACGGAGAAGCCUAGUAGGUUACAGUCCACAGGGUUGCAAAGAGUCGGACACGACUGAGCAACUUCACCUUCACCUUAGCUAAUAUUUUACUGAAAACCUAUUAUGUGCCCAACACUGUUACUCAAGGAUAAUUUUUAGCUUCCCAAAUAUAUCUGAAAUUUCUAAUGUGAAAAUUUAUUCUCAAAAAAAAUUUUGUAAGAAAAGCUUCAGUAUCAAAGUGUAAAAAUACAAGACUGUGACUUUUCAUACCCACAUGUGAUCCAGAGGUCACAUAUCUGUGCCUCUGUUUCUUUAUCU